UGGGGAAUAUUGGACAAUGGGCGCAAGCCUGAUCCAGCCAUGCCGCGUGAGUGAUGAAGGCCCUAGGGUUGUAAAGCUCUUUCACCGGUGAAGAUAAUGACGGUAACCGGAGAAGAAGCCCCGGCUAACUUCGUGCCAGCAGCCGCGGUAAUACGAAGGGGGCUAGCGUUGUUCGGAUUUACUGGGCGUAAAGCGCACGUAGGCGGACUAUUAAGUCAGGGGUGAAAUCCCGGGGCUCAACCCCGGAACUGCCUUUGAUAUUGGUAGUCUGGAGUUCGAGAGAGGUGAGUGGAAUUCCGAGUGUGGAGGUGAAAUUCGUAGAUAUUCGGAGGAACACCAGUGGCGAAGGCGGCUCACUGGCUCAAUACUGACGCUGAGGUGCGAAAGCGUGGGGAGCAAACAGG
rnacentral:rRNA from 1 species